rnacentral:rRNA from 1 species
UAGGGAAUCUUCCGCAAUGGACGCAAGUCUGACGGAGCAACGCCGCGUGAGUGAAGAAGGAUUUCGGUUCGUAAAACUCUGUUGUUAGAGAAGAACAGCGCAUAGAGUAACUGUUAUGCGUGUGACGGUAUCUAACCAGAAAGCCACGGCUAACUACGUGCUAGCAGCCGCGGUAAUACGUAGGUGGCAAGCGUUGUCCGGAUUUAUUGGGCGUAAAGCGAGCGCAGGCGGUCAAUUAAGUCUGAUGUGAAAGCCCCCGGCUCAACCGGGGAGGGUCAUUGGAAACUGGUUGACUUGAGUGCAGAAGAGGAGAGUGGAAUUCCAUGUGUAGCGGUGAAAUGCGUAGAUAUAUGGAGGAACACCAGUGGCGAAGGAGACUCUCUGGUCUGUAACUGACGCUGAGGUUCGAAAGCGUGGGUAGCAAACAGG